rnacentral:rRNA from 1 species
AUUGAACGCUGGCGGCAUGCCUUACACAUGCAAGUCGAACGGCAGCACGGGAGCAAUCCUGGUGGCGAGUGGCGAACGGGUGAGUAAUAUAUCGGAACGUGCCCGGUCGUGGGGGAUAACGUAGCGAAAGCUACGCUAAUACCGCAUACGAUCUAUGGAUGAAAGCGGGGGAUCGCAAGACCUCGCGCGAUUGGAGCGGCCGAUAUCAGAUUAGGUAGUUGGUGAGGUAAAGGCUCACCAAGCCGACGAUCUGUAGCUGGUCUGAGAGGACGACCAGCCACACUGGGACUGAGACACGGCCCAGACUCCUACGGGAGGCAGCAGUGGGGAAUUUUGGACAAUGGGCGCAAGCCUGAUCCAGCAAUGCCGCGUGCAGGAUGAAGGCCUGGUGU